rnacentral:rRNA from 1 species
GACGAACGCUGGCGGCGUGCUUAACACAUGCAAGUCGAACGGAAAGGCCCUGCUUUUGUGGGGUGCUCGAGUGGCGAACGGGUGAGUAACACGUGAGUAACCUGCCCUUGACUUUGGGAUAACUUCAGGAAACUGGGGCUAAUACCGGAUAGGAGCUCCUGCUGCAUGGUGGGGGUUGGAAAGUUUCGGCGGUUGGGGAUGGACUCGCGGCUUAUCAGCUUGUUGGUGGGGUAGUGGCUUACCAAGGCUUUGACGGGUAGCCGGCCUGAGAGGGUGACCGGCCAAAUUGGGAAUGAGAUACGGGCCAGACUCCUAAGGGAGGCAGCAGGGGGGAAUAUUGCAAAAUGGGCGGAAGCCUGAUGCAGCAACGCCGCGUGCGGGAUGACGGCCUUCGGGUUGUAAACCGCUUUCGCCUGUGACGAAGCGUGAGUGACGGUAAUGGGUAAAGAAGCACCGGCUAACUACGUG